rnacentral:rRNA from 1 species
GAUGAACGCUGGCGGCGUGCCUAAUACAUGCAAGUCGAGCGGACAGACCAGGCGCUUGCUCCUCUGACGUUAGCGGCGGGCGGGUGAGUAACACGUGUAACACCCACCUAUCUGACUGGGAUAACCUCGGGAAACCGGCGCUAAUACCGGAUAAUCUCUUGAACCGCAGUGUUCAUUGGUGAAAGACGGUUUUUCGGUCAGUAAUAGAGGGAUCCGGGCCGGUUUAGCUGGUUGGUAAGUUCACAGCGUUCCAAGGCGACGAUGCGUAACCGACCGGAGGGGGUGAUCGGCCGCACUGGAACUGAGCCGCGGUCCAGAGUACUGAGGGACGGAGCAGUAGGGAAUGUGCCGCAAUGGGCGAAAGCCUGACGGAACAACGGCGCGUGAGUGAUGGCAGUCCCCGGAGCGUAAAACUCUGUUAUUAGGUAAGAACAAAUGUGUAAGUAGCUAUGCACGUCUUGACGGUACCUAGUCAGAAAGCCACGGCUAACUACGUG